GACGAACGCUGGCGGCGUGCUUAACACAUGCAAGUCGAACGAAGUGGCGAACGGGUGAGUAAUACGUGAGUAACCUGCCCUCCUUUUUGGGAUAAGCCUUGGAAACGGGGUCUAAUACCGCAUAAAGGGGGAUGGGCGCGCGGCCUAUCAGCUUGUUGGUGGGGUGAUGGCCUACGAAGGCGGUGACGGGGCGCCGGCCUGAGAGGGUGGACGGCCACAUUGGGACUGAGGCACGGCCCAGACUCCUACGGGAGGCAGGAGUGGGGAAUAUUGCACAAUGGGCGGAAGCCUGAUGCAGCGACGCCGCGUGGGGGAUGACGGCCUUCGGGUUGUAAACUCCUUUCACCAUCGACGCGGUAGAUGGAGAAGAAGCACCGGCUAACUACGUGCCAGCAGCCGCGGUAAUAC
rnacentral:rRNA from 1 species